CAAGGGGACAGAAGGCCCUGGAGGAGCCGGGGUGGUGGGAAGCCCUGAGGAAUUGGGUGUCAGAGGCCAUAAGCAGCCCCCGGGCAGCCGCCUGGUCCCUUACACCUGGCUGCUCCGGUGCUGCCCCAAAAUAUCCCCCAGGCCUGCAGCAGAAGGCCUGGAGGCUGGGACACCACCCCAGCGGGAGGGUGGGGACAGCCCGAGGUGCCCAGGCUGGGCUGGCUGGGGACAUGGAGGGCAGGGGGUGCUGCCAGGCCACGGCCACUGGGUGCCUCCAGGAAGGGGCAGUGGGCAGAGGCAGGGCUGGCGGCCAGCCCGGGCCCUCGCGGCUGCCCAGGCCACGCUGCUGUGACCGAGGCCCCCCUGACACAGAGCUCGGGGCCCACAGAGCUGCUGCCACCAUGGAGAGGGUGGCGAUGUCUCCUCCAGCAGGGCUGCCCAGUGGCUGCUGCCCAAGCGGCUCUGGAGCCCACAGAAACAGCAGCAGAGUGUGCCCAGGAACAGCAGCANNNNNNNNNNNNNNNNNNNNCCCCACCGCAGCUCGGCCCCAGCCCCGGCUGCUGCCCCGGCAGCGGCACCCGGGCCCGGCGCCCUGGAUCCCCGGCUGCCCUCGGGGCUGCUGCUGCCGGCCUCUGGCAGCCGUGCCCUUGGGCUGGGUCAGGAUGCGGCAAGGGCCCGGGCUGAGGCAUGCCGGGGCAGGAGGCCGUGUGGCCACAGGGCUGGCAGCGCCGCUGGCAGGGAGCUGUGCUGCUGGGACCCUGACAGGCUCUGUGUUCUCAGGGAUGGCCGGGGAGCAGCUGAGGGGGCAGCAGGCAGAGCUCCAGGUGUUGUGCAGAGCCCUCGAACGCCUGACGGAGGACAGAAGCGGUGCCGUGUCAGACCUGGCACUUGAGACGCUGUAUGUCCUCCGGGCCAUCCAGNNNNNNNNNNNNNNNNNNNNAAGGCUAGAGAAGCCCCCUGGCCCCGGUGCUCAGUGUGUGGGGCUGGCAGCUGUGCCCCUGCCCACUGCUGCACCCGGGGGCCGCACGGCUGCCUCAGGGCUGGCCGGGCACGGGAGGCCGGGGCUGGUCACAGGCAGCAGCGCCCGGCCGAGGGACAGAGCCCGCGCCAACCCUUCCCUCCUGCCGCUCUCUCCAGCUGGCCGACCACAGGAUCCCCUUGGCCGAGCACCUGCGCCGGGCCCUGCAGUACCUGCAGGACCCACAGGAGACCCUGCGAGCGACGGCCAUCAGGGUCAUCGGGAUGGCCGGGGAGCAGCUGAGGGGGCAGCACGCAGAGCUCCAGGUGUUGUGCAGAGCCCUCGAACGCCUGACGGAGGACAGAAGUGGUGCCGUGUCAGACCUGGCACUUGAGACGCUGUAUGUCCUCCGGGCCAUCCAGAGUGCCCGAUAUUCCAUCCUGCAGAGGAUGCAAGACCAAAUCCUCAGGGCAUGGAGGACACGGCCUCGUCUGUCGGGCCUGGGCUGGCUGCGCUGCUGGAGAUGUGCUCAGCGCUGACCUGAGAGGCUCUGUCUUCUGGGGCCACCUGGGCCAGCCAGGAUUUUUUAUUUCAUAAGGGUUGUUUUUUCCUUUUUCUCUUCUUUUUAGUAUGUAAAUAAUAUAGGAUAUGUUAGGGCUGAGAGGCUCUAUCUUCUGGGGCCACAUGGGCCAUCUGUUAUUUUUUGUUUCAUAGAGAUUGUUCUUUUCUUCGUUUCGUUUCCAUCUAGUAUGUAAAUAAUAUAGGAUAUGUUAUAAACCACAAGAGUCCCAAGACCUUUCUUUUGCUGCCCAGGGUGUGUGGGGCAUAGGGGAAGAGAGGGAAAAGGGUUCUUGUGUUCAGCAACCUGCCGGGGCGUGCAGUGGUGCAGGGGAAAUGGCCAGAAGCCCCUUGGCCUUUGGUGGUUGUGCUGAAGCCACAAGCCCUGUGGCAGGCAGGAAGCGCCAUCUGUGUCCUGCUGCCCGUGUGUUGCUGCCGUGAUGGCUGAGGAGCUGCUGGAGCUCCUGUGGGGCUGCGGCGCUGCUGCCGGGCCAGGCUGGGGGAGCCCCUGAGGGCACGGGGUGCUGGGAGGCCGUGAAGGGAUGAGGGGCUGCGGAGGCCCAGACGGGACAAGGCAGUGGGAAGGCACGAGGGGGAUGUGUGAGGGAGUGGGUGGCAGGAGGUUCCAAGGGGACAGAAGGCCCUGGAGGAGCCGGGGUGGUGGGAAGCACUGAGGAAUUGGGUGUCAGAGGCCAUAAGCAGCCCCCGGGCAGCCGCCUGGUCCCUGACACCCGGCUGCUCCGGUGCUUCCCCAAAAUGUCCCCCAGGCCUGCAGCAGAAGGCCUGGAGGCUGGGACACCACCCCAGCGGGAGGGUGGGGACAGCCCGAGGUGCCC
rnacentral:lncRNA from 1 species